rnacentral:rRNA from 1 species
UACGUAGGGUCCGAGCGUUGUCCGGAGUUACUGGGCGUAAAGGGCGCGCAGGUGGCGGUGUUGGCCCGGCGUGAAAGCCCCCGGCUCAACCGGGGAGGGUCGUCGGGGACCGCACCGCUUGAGGGCGGUAGGGGCUGGUGGAAUGCCUGGUGUAGUGGUGAAAUGCGUAGAGAUCAGGCGGAACACCCGUAGCGAAGGCGGCCAGCUGGGCCGUCCCUGACACUGAGGCGCGGAAGGCGUGGGGAGCGAACGGG